AGGGUUCGAUUCUGGCUCAGGAUGAACGCUGGCGGCGUGCUUAACACAUGCAAGUCGAACGGGAUCCCAGGAGCUUGCUCCUGGGUGAGAGUGGCGAACGGGUGAGUAAUGCGUGACCGACCUGCCCCAUACACCGGAAUAGCUCCUGGAAACGGGUGGUAAUGCCGGAUGCUCCAGUUGGAUGCAUGUCCUUCUGGGAAAGAUUCUAUCGGUAUGGGAUGGGGUCGCGUCCUAUCAGCUUGAUGGCGGGGUAACGGCCCACCAUGGCUUCGACGGGUAGCCGGCCUGAGAGGGCGACCGGCCACAUUGGGACUGAGAUACGGCCCAGACUCCUACGGGAGGCAGCAGUGGGGAAUAUUGGGCAAUGGGCGAAAGCCUGACCCAGCAACGCCGCGUGAAGGAAGAAGGCCUUCGGGUUGUAAACUUCUUUUAAGAGGGACGAAGAAGUGACGGUACCUCUUGAAUAAGCCACGGCUAACUACGUGCCAGCAGCCGCGGUAAUACGUAGGUGGCGAGCGUUGUCCGGAAUUAUUGGGCGUAAAGAGCAUGUAGGCGGUUUUUUAAGUCUGGAGUGAAAAUGCGGGGCUCAACCCCGUAUGGCUCUGGAUACUGGAAGACUUGAGUGCAGGAGAGGAAAGGGGAAUUCCCAGUGUAGCGGUGAAAUGCGUAGAUAUUGGGAGGAACACCAGUGGCGAAGGCGCCUUUCUGGACUGUGUCUGACGCUGAGAUGCGAAAGCCAGGGUAGCGAACGGGAUUAGAUACCCCGGUAGUCCUGGCCGUAAACGAUGGGUACUAGGUGUAGGAGGUAUCGACCCCUUCUGUGCCGGAGUUAACGCAAUAAGUACCCCGCCUGGGGAGUACGUCCGCAAGGAUGAAACUCAAAGGAAUUGACGGGGGCCCGCACAAGCGGUGGAGUAUGUGGUUUAAUUCGACGCAACGCGAAGAACCUUACCAAGGCUUGACAUUGAAUGACCGCUUCAGAGAUGGAGCUUUCCCUUCGGGGACAUGAAAACAGGUGGUGCAUGGCUGUCGUCAGCUCGUGUCGUGAGAUGUUGGGUUAAGUCCCGCAACGAGCGCAACCCCUAUCCUUAGUAGCCAGCAGUAAGAUGGGCACUCUAGGGAGACUGCCAGGGAUAACCUGGAGGAAGGUGGGGAUGACGUCAAAUCAUCAUGCCCCUUAUGACUUGGGCUACACACGUGCUACA
rnacentral:rRNA from 1 species